rnacentral:rRNA from 1 species
UCGGGGUACUCGAGCGGCGAACGGGUGAGUAACACGUGAGCAACCUGCCCUAGGCUUUGGGAUAACCCUCGGAAACGGGGGCUAAUACCGGAUAUUCACUUGCGGACGCAUGUUUGUGGGUGGAAAGUUUUUCGGCUUGGGAUGGGCUCGCGGCCUAUCAGCUUGUUGGUGGGGUGAUGGCCUACCAAGGCGACGACGGGUAGCCGGCCUGAGAGGGCGACCGGCCACACUGGGACUGAGACACGGCCCAGACUCCUACGGGAGGCAGCAGUGGGGAAUAUUGCACAAUGGGCGGAAGCCUGAUGCAGCGACGCCGCGUGAGGGAUGACGGCCUUCGGGUUGUAAACCUCUUUCAGCAGGGACGAAGCGCAAGUGACGGUACCUGCAGAAGAAGCGCCGGCCAACUACGUGCCAGCAGCCGCGGUAAGACGUAGGGCGCGAGCGUUGUCCGGAUUUAUUGGGCGUAAAGAGCUCGUAGGCGGCUUGUCGCGUCGACUGUGAAAACCCGUGGCUCAACUGCGGGCCUGCAGUCGAUACGGGCAGGCUAGAGUUCGGUAGGGGAGACUGGAAUUCCUGGUGUAGCGGUGAAAUGCGCAGAUAUCAGGAGGAACACCGGUGGCGAAGGCGGGUCUCUGGGCCGAUACUGACGCUGAGGAGCGAAAGCGUGGGGAGCGAACAGGAUUAGAUACC